GGCGGCGAGAACUAGUCAAGGGCGGCUCGUAGAGUGACCGGCGGACCCCGCCGCCGCCGCCAUCUUCCGGCCGCCGGAUCCAGCCCCGCUAGGGUCCGUGGCCAGGUGCCUGUUAGAACCCGGCUCAGUACCCUGUCGAUUGUUUUGAGAGGCUUGAGAUCGUCGCCUCUAAUUUGAGUCUAGGGUGAACGCAAAGUCUUGGCUUUGCGUCCACGAGGCGCUGGGGAUAUCCAGAUUGGGGACUGGGGGCGGGACAGUGUAGACGCCUUUGGUGGAUGGAGACCCUGCCGGGCCUUCCUCGGCCUCCCCGCUGGCUUUCCCGGAAGCGCUGUACGAGCCAAGACCACUGAGCACCGCUCCUCUCUCUGCGACACCUCGACCGAGAGCGGGCCAGUGGGACAUCCUUAGAGCCUAGGACGCUGUCAAGAGAGCUGCUUGGGCAGGUGACCCACCUCAGUGUGGAAAUGCGGUAGCCCUUUCAUAAAAGAGCAGCAGAAUGGAGUUACUUGGGGCAGAUGGCCCCGGUCGCAUAGUCGCUGUCCUUCUGUCUUUGACCCGAAGGUGACAGCGUGAGAAGCUGUGGUUUGUUUUUGAAAGUGAUGCCAAGCUGGACCCUGUGGGCCUCCCAGCGGAGAAGAUCUCAGAGGAGACACUGGAGAUCAGCUGGGGAAACAAAGACGAAUAAAGUGAAAAACUUGAGGCAGACGUGGAAACAAACAAUGACGAGGCCACGUCAUGAGGGUGCUCAAGAGGAUUUUGGACAAGGCUCCAUCAGGGGUGCUAAGGAACGGAGCCUGACCCUGCGGGGGAGGGGAAAGUUCAGCAUGUAGAUUCACCAGCUCAGCAUCCUCCCCAUUUCUGGGAACCACUGGGCUUCAGCUGCUCAGCCUCCAUCCCACCUUCUCUUAGUGAAAUACUUUGGUUUCCUUUUCAUGGAAACACCCCUCCCUACCCCGCCUUCCUUUCAUCCAUAUGAUCCUACUCCUAGCAUCAGGGCUUGACGAGUGACCCUCGACCAAGCCAGUCAGGGCAUCCAAUGCUCCUGGCCAGGAGUGUGAACCCUGGGUCCUGAAGAGUGAACCCUGAGACGUUUGUAAAUGGCGGAGAAGAAAAGCUUGCUGUGUUUUCAGCUGAACUUGGUGCUCGAAGGAAAGCCUGAAGCUAGCUGGUCUCUGUAUCACCACUAGGGAAAAGCCUGGCUAGGAAAUGGAGCCAGCUUCCAGGAGUGGAGCAGAGAGAGAGAGAGAGAAGUGGUCCAGAGAGCACCUGUGGAGCCACAAAUUCACUGCAUUACUUGACUUUCCUGGUUCUCAGCCAGUAAAUCCUUUCUUGCAUGACCAAUUUGAAUUUUGAGCCAUUUUUCAACUUAGGUAACAUCAGAAAAGAGGUUUCAACAUGAAGAAGGAAAAACAAGUGUAGGCGAGAAUGAAACCUCGUAUGUUGCUGAUAGGAACAUGAAAUGGUGUGGCUACUUUAGAAAACAGCCCAGCAGUUCCUCAAAGUCUUAAGCAUAAGAGUCACCAUGACCCAGCAGUUCCUCUCUUAGGCAUAUAUGCAAGAGGACUGAAAACAUGUUCACAGCAAGGCUUGUACAGAGAUGUUCAUGGAAGCAUUAUUGACAAUAGCCAAAAAGCAGAAACGUGUCACUUGCCUGACUGAUGGAUAAACAAAGUAUGGUAUGUAACUAUGGCGGAAUAUUCGCCACACAAAUCAAUGAAGGAUUGACAUAUGUUACAACAUGGAUGAGCCUUGAAAACAUUAUGCUAAGUGAUACAGUGAGUGAGUGAAGUUGCUCAGUCGUGUCCAACUCUUUGCAACCCCAUGGACUGUAGCCUGCCAGGUCCCUCCAUCCAUGGGAUUUUCCAGGCAAGCAUACUGGAGUGAGUUUCCAUUCCUUCUCCAGGAGAUCUUCCUGACCAGAUACUAAAGGACACAUGGUCCAUUUAUACUAAAUGUUCAGAACAGGCAAAUCCAUUGAGACAGAAAAUAGAUUAGUGGUUGUAAAGGGCUGGGGCAGGGACAGGAAUAGGAUGUGACUGCUGAUGGCCACAGGUUUCUUUGGGGGAUGAUAAAAAUGUUCUGGAAUUAGUGGUGAUGAUUACAUAACCUUGUGAAUAAAUUAAAAAGUACUGACUUAUACUUCAAAAGGGUGCAUUUCAUGGUACGUGA